rnacentral:rRNA from 1 species
UGAGCUUGAUCCUGGCUCAGGACGAACGCUGGCGGCGUGCCUAAUACAUGCAAGUCGAGCGGACUGAUGGGAGCUUGCUCCCUGAUGUUAGCGGCGGACGGGUGAGUAACACGUGGGCAACCUGCCUGUAAGACUGGGAUAACUCCGGGAAACCGGGGCUAAUACCGGAUAACCCGUUCCACCUCAUGGUGGAGCGGUAAAAGAUGGCCUCUGGCUAUCACUUACAGAUGGGCCCGCGGCGCAUUAGCUAGUUGGUAAGGUAACGGCUUACCAAGGCGACGAUGCGUAGCCGACCUGAGAGGGUGAUCGGCCACACUGGGACUGAGACACGGCCCAGACUCCUACGGGAGGCAGCAGUAGGGAAUCUUCCGCAAUGGACGAAAGUCUGACGGAGCAACGCCGCGUGAGUGAUGAAGGUUUUCGGAUCGUAAAGCUCUGUUGUUAGGGAAGAACAAGUGCCGUUUGAAUAAGGCGGCACCUUGACGGUACCUAACCAGAAAGCCACGGCUAACUACGUGCCAGCAGCCGCUGUA